rfam:Gossypium raimondii chromosome 5, whole genome shotgun sequence.
AAUCCAUGGUGCAGACAUUUUUGAAUCAAAAUUUUGAAAUGUUCCCACACCUUAUAGAAGCUUUUCCCUUCCAUUUUUCUAAAGACAACAAUCUCUCUUCUUAAUU